GAUGAACGCUGGCGGCGUGCCUAAUACACGCAAGUCGAGCGAACAGACGAGGAGCUUGCUCCUCUGACGUUAGCGGCGGACGGGUGAGUAACACGUGGAUAACCUACCUAUAAGACUGGGAUAACUUCGGGAAACCGGAGCUAAUACCGGAUAAUAUAUUGAACCGCAUGGUUCAAUAGUGAAAGACGGUUUUGCUGUCACUUAUAGAUGGAUCCGCGCCGCAUUAGCUAGUUGGUAAGGUAACGGCUUACCAAGGCGACGAUGCGUAGCCGACCUGAGAGGGUGAUCGGCCACACUGGAACUGAGACACGGUCCAGACUCCUACGGGAGGCAGCAGUAGGGAAUCUUCCGCAAUGGGCGAAAGCUUGACGGAGCAACGCCGCGUGAGUGAUGAAGGUCUUCGGAUCGUAAAACUCUGUUAUUAGGGAAGAACAAAUGUGUAAGUAACUAUGCACGUCUUGACGGUACCUAAUCAGAAAGCCACGGCUAACUAUGUG
rnacentral:rRNA from 1 species